UGAUAGGAGCAAGAAAACAAUGGAUUC
rnacentral:piRNA from 1 species